rnacentral:tRNA from 1 species
GCAUUGAUGGUUCAGUGGUAGAAUUCUCGCCUGCCACGCGGGAGACCGGGGUUCGAUUCCCCGUCAAUGCAAC